UCGCUUUGAUAGUGAAUAUACAAUGAUUAGAACGAUACACAGAAGAUUAACAUUAUCUCUUCACAAGAAUGACACACAAAAUCAUGAUGUAUCUCGAGUCAGG
rnacentral:snRNA from 1 species